UGAACUAAAAACAAAAUUGAAGAUAUUUAUAAAGAUGAAAAAUUUAUUUAACCCUUUUAAUUUUAAACAAAUAUGUUUCUCAUUUAUACAAUAUAUUUUAAAACGUGUGGAAACCAACAAUUUAUUAUUUUUUUGGCUCUUUUUAAUUGGCUUGAGCAUGAGGAAUGUGGAAAUAAUAAAAAGGCUUAUACACUACUCUAAUGUGGGCCCUAUUGUCCAAAUAUGUUGAAAUUUAUGUGUAGCAACAUAUCAUAAAGCAAUAUAGUGAUU
rnacentral:lncRNA from 1 species